UACGUAGGGGGCUAGCGUUGUUCGGAUUUACUGGGCGUAAAGCGCACGUAGGCGGAUCGUUAAGUCGGGGGUGAAAUCCUGGAGCUCAACUCCAGAACUGCCUUCGAUACUGGCAAUCUCGAGUCCGGAAGAGGUAAGUGGAACUCCUAGUGUAGAGGUGGAAUUCGUAGAUAUUAGGAAGAACACCAGUGGCGAAGGCGGCUUACUGGUCCGGUACUGACGCUGAGGUGCGAAAGCGUGGGGAGCAAACAGG
rnacentral:rRNA from 1 species